rnacentral:lncRNA from 1 species
AAAUUAUAAAAUUAUUGAAAUAGUUAAAUAAAUAUUUAAGUAUAUGAUUAACAUUAAAAAUAUAUACCACUUAUAUUCUAAAACAAUAAUUUAUGUAUAGAAAAGUGAAAACAAACACCCGUGCGGUUGCACGGGUCAAAAUCUAGUUUUUUUACUUAAAUGCUGAUUCGUACAAAUAAAAUAAAUUCAGCAAAACACACAUAAAAAGUUUAGGAACACUGUAGACAGUGAUUGUUUGGAGCAUCAAACUCACAUCCUACUGUUUAACAUGGGGCCAAAGUUAGACACAGUCAUAAACUCAUACGUCCCAUACAGGUAGUCGUUUCUCAAUUGCUACACAACGUAUGAACAUGGCAGUUGAGUCAGCUAUGAGAUUUAAUAAAAACGAUACAACCUCACAUGUUCCUAUUUUAUAAAGUAUUUUCAGCCGAGUGCGAAAUGCAAACUUGAGUUAGUAGUUAUAAUAUGAAUAAUCAUCAUACAUGCAGAGAACACGGUGUCUACAUCACAUGGAAGCAACAAGCAACACCAAACUGAUUCUUUAACAAAGCAAACCCUACCCAUCAA